CUGAGUGGGUGUGGGCUGUGGAGCGGAGUCUCUGCGGGCAGGCGAGCGGGCUGGGUGGUUUCCCGCAGGCGGCCGGCGUGUCGUAGUCUGUGGUCAUGAAGAAGGGGAACAGUCACCCGUGCUGCGGUCUCAUGGCCGAGGACAGAGGUAUCAGUUUUGAUCCUUGGCCUCCAUGCUGAACAGUGACUUCUGAUCCUGAGCCUACUUGUGCAUGCAUAUGUAUUGUUUAGAUAAUACUCAUGUGACAACUGGGCACUGGAUAUGAUAGAUGACUGAAGAGACCGUUGGAGGGUACCUACACUUUGACCAUAAACCACUUUGACGAUGUGGAGAA